AUACGUAGGUGGCAAGCGUUGUCCGGAAUUAUUGGGCGUAAAGAGCGCGUAGGCGGUUAUGCAAGUCAGUCUUAAAAGUUCGAGGCUUAACCUCGUGAUGGGAUUGAAACUGUGUAACUGGAGUAUCGGAGAGGGAAGUGGGAUUCCCGGGGUCGCGGUGAAACGCGUAGAUAUCGGGAGGAACACCAGUUGCCAAGGCGACUUCCUGGCACAAUACUGACGCUCAUGUGCGAAAGCUAGGGUAGCGAACGGGAUUAGAUACCCCGGUAGUCCGAGCCGUAAACGAUGGAUACUAGGUGUGGGUGUCGCAGGGCAUCCGUGCCGCAGCUAACGCGUUAAGUAUCCCGCCUGGGGACUACGGUCGCAAGACUGAAACUCAAAGGAAUUGACGGGG
rnacentral:rRNA from 1 species